GAUGAACGCUGGCGGUAUGCUUAACACAUGCAAGUCGAACGGACUCUUCGGAGUUAGUGGCGGACGGGUGAGUAACGCGUGAGAAUCUGGCUUUGGGUUCGGGACAACCACUGGAAACGGUGGCUAAUACCGGAUGUGCCGAGAGGUAAAAGAGAAAUUGCCUGAAGAUGAGCUCGCGUCUGAUUAGCUAGUUGGUGAGGUAAAGGCUCACCAAGGCAGCGAUCAGUAGCUGGUCUGAGAGGAUGACCAGCCACACUGGGACUGAGACACGGCCCAGACUCCUGCGGGAGGCAGCAGUGGAGAAUUUUCCGCAAUGGGCGAAAGCCUGACGGAGCAAUACCGCGUGAGGGAAGGAGGCUCUUGGGUUGUAAACCUCUUUUCUUAGGGAAGAACAAAAUGACGGUACCUAAGGAAUCAGCAUCGGCUAACUCCGUG
rnacentral:rRNA from 1 species